rnacentral:rRNA from 1 species
AUUCAAUAUGAUCCAGGCAAGAGGAAAUUGAUAGAACAUUAUCAUCCAAAUUUGAAAGAUUUUGUAUGAAGAAAAUACUUGCUUAAUGGACCUUGUCAGCCAAAAGAUAUCAAUUUUCCAUAUUCAAACUUUCGGGCUACGAGGAGAAUGUUCAGUCCUGAAUGGUUUGAUGAUCAUGAGAGUUGGCCUGAAUACAGCAAAGAGAAGAAAAAAGCAUAUUGCUUUUGUUAUUUCUUAUUUAGGGACUGUGGCCACAAGAAAGAAGUUGGGUAUGAGGCAUUUGUUCUGAAUGGCUGGGAUACCUGGAGCGUUCCAUCAAGGCUAAAGGAUCAUGUUGGUGAGCCAGGUAGUGUCCAUGAUCAAGCAAUGAAAAAAUGUACCGCUCUACUAAAAAGAGAUGAACACAUUGAUGUUAAUAUCCAGUUUCAAAGUGAAGCUUCAAAGGUUGCAUAUUUACUUCUGAAUGCCGCAAUUGACACGGCUAGACUAUUGUUGAAGCAAGGGUUGCCUUUCCAGGGCCGUGAUGAGUCAAAGAACUCACACAAUAAAGGCAAUUUCUUGGAAGUUCGUGAUUUCUUAGCUCAACAUGAUCCAGUUAUUGGCAAGGCUAUGGGAAAAGAUGCUGCAAAGAAUGCUCUUAUGCCUGCUCCUCAAUUCCAGAAAGAUAUUGCUGAAGGUUUUGCCCAUGUGAUAGUUCAAUCUAUUCUCAAAGAAGUUCAGAAUAAUGUGUUUUGGUUGCUUUUUGAUGAGUCUAGAGAUGCCUCUUGCAAAGAACAAAUGGCAGUGGCCUUGCGGUAUGUUGAUAGUUCCAGAGAUUCUAAAGAAAGCUUUGUUGGUCUUGUUCAUGUGAAAUAAGAAACUUCUUCGUACCUCAAGAGUUCAAUUGAUUCUCUUUUUACAAAAUAUAAGCUGAGCUACAAUCAAGUUAGGGGACAAGGAUAUGAUGGUGCCAGUAACAUGCGAGGUGAUUUUAAUGGUCUCAAAUCAUUAAUCAUGAGAGAAAGUAGCACAACUUAUUAUGUUCAUUGCUUUGCUCACCAACUCUAGUUAGUUGUUGUGGCUGUUGUAAGAAAGCAUAAAGGAGUUAGUAAUUUCUUCAGUAUGAUUUCUACCUUGUUAAACGUUGUGGGUGGUUCUUCCAAGAGAAGAGACAUGAUUAGAAAUAUAAAUCUUGAAGAAAUGAGCAAGGCUUUAGGUUGUGGGCAACUUACAACAGGAGCAGGUCAGAAUCAAGAGCAAUGCCUUCAAAGACCCGGAGACACUCAUUGGGGUUCACAUGCUAAAACACAUACAAGUUUGGUUGCCAUGUUUAGGACAGUUAUUAAAGUUCUUGAAUUUGUUGAAGAAGACACUCACAGGACAAAUAGAGACCAAGCAAUUGGUCUUCUAGUGUACUUUCAAUCUUUUGACUUUGUCUUCUAUUUGCAUCUCAUGUUGACAAUCCGCAGUACUACCAACACAUUGUCAUUAGCAUUGCAGUGCAAGGAUCAAGACAUAGUAAAUGCCAUGAAAUGUGUCUAGUCAACUAGAAUAGUUUUGACUAAACUUGGAGAAGAUAGAUGGGAAUCUAUGCUAGGUGAUGUUCAUGUGUUUUGUGAGAAACAUGAUAUUGUAGAGUUGGACAUGGAAGAAGCAUAUGUUAAUCCAAAAAAGAGAAGGCAGGUAACUGGAAUUACCAACAAACAUCACUAUCAGGCUGAUUGCUUCAAUGAUUUUUUUGAUUGGCUAGUUCAAGAGCUUGACAACAUGUUCAGUGAGGCAUCCUCUAAUUUGCUUGUUUUUUCAUCCGAUUUGAGUCCAAGAGACUCAUUUUGUGAUUUCAAUUUGGAUAAUCUCAUGUUGGCUAAACUAUACCCUCAGGAUUUUGAUUCCGGGGAUUUGAGGGAUCUUGAUAAGGAUCUACAUCUCUAUAUUGCUAAUGUGCGCACAGAUGAUAGCUUUUCCAACAUAGCAACAAUCACCGACCUUUCAAAAAAAAUGGUGCAGACAAGGAGACAUAUUAUGUAUCCUUUGUUUUGUCGGUUGUUGAAACUAGUAAUUGUGUUGCCUAUUGCUACUGCUAUAGUUGAGAGGUGCUUUUCAGCAAUGAAAUUGGUCAAAACUAACUUGCGUAGUCGCCUCAGUGAUGACAGCUUGAGUGAUGAAGUUAUUUGUUAUGUGGAGAAAGAAGAGAUGAAAAAGGUCACCAAUGAUCAAGUGGUUGAGUAUUUCAUGGCUCGAAGGAAAAGAAUGUACCGAAGGUAA